rnacentral:rRNA from 1 species
UACGGAGGGUGCAAGCGUUGUCCGGAUUUAUUGGGUUUAAAGGGUGCGUAGGCGGCUUUUUUAAGUCAGUGGUGAAAUACAGCAGCUCAACUGUUGAGGUGCCAUUGAUACUGAAGAGCUUGAGUACAGAUGAGGUAGGCGGAAUUUAUGGUGUAGCGGUGAAAUGCAUAGAUACCAUAAAGAACACCGAUUGCGAAGGCAGCUUACUAAGCUGUAACUGACGCUGAGGCACGAAAAGCGUGGGGAGCGAACAGG